rnacentral:sRNA from 1 species
AUACAGGAAUAGGAAUUGAAAUAUGGAGAAGUUUACCAAACCAUGUAAUUUUUACAAAUGAUAAUAUCGUAGAAAAAUUAUGACUUGGCUCCGAAUGGUAACGUGCGGUUUAACUGUGGAUAAAAUGCAGUGCGGUUCUAAUAAUAACAAAAAUAUUUACAUAUAUAUAUAUAUAUUUUUGUUACUGUUCGAACCGCACCACAUCAUACCGUUCGGCCUGCAUUCGGAACCUCAGUCUACGACGAAUGAUACCAUCAUUUGUCAUUACAACGUGUAUCUAU